AAGAAAAUGAGUGGCGAACGGGUGAGUAACACGUGGGUAACCUGCCCAUCAGCGGGGGAUAACACUUGGAAACAGGUGCUAAUACCGCAUAAUUUCAUUUACCGCAUGGUAGAUGGAUGAAAGGCGCUUUUGCGUCACUGAUGGAUGGACCCGCGGUGCAUUAGCUAGUUGGUGGGGUAACGGCCUACCAAGGCUGCGAUGCAU
rnacentral:rRNA from 1 species